rnacentral:rRNA from 1 species
GUGCCAGCCGCCGCGGUAAUACAGAGGGUGCAAGCGUUGUUCGGAAUUAUUGGGCGUAAAGCGCGUGUAGGCGGCCUUGCAAGUUGGGUGUGAAAGCCCUCGGCUCAACCGAGGAAGUGCGCCCAAAACUAUGAGGCUUGAGUACCGGAGAGGAUGGCGGAAUACCCGGUGUAGAGGUGAAAUUCGUAGAUAUCGGGUGGAACACCAGCGGCGAAGGCGGCCAUCUGGACGGAUACUGACGCUGAGACGCGAAAGCGUGGGGAGCAAACAGGAUUAGAAACCCCGGUAGUCC